rnacentral:sRNA from 1 species
ACUAUUUUCAGAUCCGAAAGAUGAUAGAUAACUAAUUAUGAUUUAUAUAUGUGAUGUACCUUUUCGCAUUUCCGGUAAGCUUCAACUGCUUCUGCGUGAGAGAUAAGGAGAUUGUGAGUGACAAGGUAAGCCUCGUAUCCUGAUCGUCCGUCUUGGCAUUUAGCAUUGACGUAAGAAGAGCAACGACCAGGUGCCUUUUUGCCUACGUCAUAGCCAGCGUGCGAGAAAACCCAUGGCUCAUUGAAAGUGAUCCAAUGUUUCACUUUUCCACCGUAUUCUUGGAAAACAAAAUCUGCAUACUCUCGGAAAUCCUUCCUACAAUAUUGCAAAAAAUUGUUGAAUA